rnacentral:lncRNA from 1 species
CAAGAUGUAUGAUUGUGAAAAAAAAAAAAAAAAAUUGCGUCACAAAAAUAGUGUAUCUUGCAAUAUAUUAAUCUAGACCGUCCAAUUUCAAGAUUUUCAUAUGUUUAUAGAUCUACUUGAUGUUAACUAUUUUUGGAGUUUAAAAUUUUAUAAUUAGACGUGAAAAUAGAUUUUGAGAUAAUCUUAAAAAUUUUUUACACCAAAAUUACAUGUUAAGAUAAAUUUGGGAUGUGCGCCUAAGGUUGCCACCUUGUAAAAACCACACCCUUUAAUUUGUACAUAUAUCUGAUUUAACCACACCCUUUAAUUUGUACAUAUAUCUGAUUUUUAUUUUUUAUUUUUUUUGAAAUGUUCGAAUAUAUUUUCCAAUAGAAUAGUAUAUUUCAUUAAUGAUCAAUCUUGUUUAGGUGAUGUGAGAG